UACGGGGGGAGCAAGCGUUGUUCGGAUUUACUGGGUUUAAAGGGUGCGUAGGCGGACAGGUAAGUCAGUGGUGAAAUCUCUGGGCUUAACCCAGAAACUGCCGUUGAUACUAUUUGUCUUGAAUAUCCUGGAGGUAGGCGGAAUAUGUCAUGUAGCGGUGAAAUGCUUAGAUAUGACAUAGAACACCGAUAGCGAAGGCAGCUUACUACAGGAUGAUUGACGCUGAGGCACGAAAGCGUGGGGAGCAAACAGG
rnacentral:rRNA from 1 species